GUGAAUCAUCGAAUUUUUGAACGCAAAUUGCGCUUCCUGGUAUCCCGGGAAGUAUGCCUGUUUGAGGGUCAGUAUUAACAAAAAAUCGGUUUGGUUGCAAAUUGUGAGGUUUCCGGAGGUUGGGCUUAUCUUAACUUUUUUGGUUAAGGGGCUUAAAAUUGACUUUUUUUGCGCAUUUUUAGACUAUAAUAAGUUUUUCUUUAUUCGUCUAUUCUUAUUGCCAUAA
rnacentral:misc_RNA from 1 species